GCCAAAUAGCUAGCCCAACCCCCUAAAACAAAAGAAUCGCCCUAAAUAACCCCUCACGCACUAAAAGUGUUAAACAAACCAUUUUCCCAUCUUAGUAUAGGAGAUAGAAAAGAAUCCCGGCGCAAUAGAGAAAGUACCGCAAGGGAAAGCUGAAAGAGAAAUGAAACAACCCAGUUUUAAGCCCAAAGAAGCAAAGACUAAUCCUUGUACCUUUGAAGAACAUGA
rnacentral:rRNA from 1 species